AUUGAACGCUGGCGGCAGGCUUAACACAUGCAAGUCGAACGAGUGGCGGCAGGGUGAGUAAUGCUUGGGAAUCUAGCUUAUGGAGGGGGAUAACUACGGGAAACUGUCGCUAAUACCGCGUACCAUAGGAUGAGCCCAAGUGGGAUUAGGUAGUUGGUGAGGUAAAGGCUAACCAAGCGGACGAUCUCUAGCUGGUCUGAGAGGAGGACCAGCCACACUGGGAUUGAGACACGGCCCAGACUCCGACGUGAGGCAGCAGUGGGGAAUAUUGCGCAAUGGGGGCAACCUGACGCAGCCAUGCCGCAUGAAGGAAGAAGGCCUUCGGGUUGUAAAGUUCUUUCGUUAGCGAGGCGUUAACUACAGAAGAAGCACCGGCUAACUCCGUGCCAGCAGCCGCGGUAAUAC
rnacentral:rRNA from 1 species